GGUUGUAUGGAGUAGUGGUCAACUUAGGAGAUUUUGACAAGAGUCAGGCCCCUUGACCUGCAGUCCGAAUUUCUCUUGCCCCGGGUUCGAAUCCCGGUACGACCU